CCUCUUUAUUUGAAACCUUCAAGUAGACAUGUUGUCACGAUGAAAGGGGCUCCAUUAAAUUAAUCAUAUGAAGUAAAGUACAUAUCAAGGACUGGUACCUAGAACAACUAGAUAUAAUAAAUGAAUGUAAUGUUUGAAAUAAUACUAGUUAAGGAAUGACAAAAGAUCUAUUAGUUGAUCUGGUAAUUAAAUUUAAGUGACAACUUGUCAACAAGCUUGUUAGAUUCCUUCCUAGUUUGAAAUUGACACGUCGACCAUGUGGAGCCACGUGGCUUUCGGCGCCGGUGAAGUAUCGGUUUACCAACAAGUAACAACUACAAAAGGGGAAUACUUUGAACCGCGUCAACUGGCAGUAACUAGUUUUCUGUAGUGCCGCAAACGACACAUUCGCCAAGCCGGCAUUGUAAUAUACAAUUAUCCGGUUGAAUGGGAUUUACAAUUGGUGCAGCUGCUAACAAGCCGGCACACGUUGGGGGGAGUGGUGUUUGAGCAGUUGGUAUUCAACACACCGAUUGCAGCGGUUGGCGCAAUAUUCCGUAAUUGAAUACAAUGUCAAUUUAUUGUGUAGUAGCGAGUCAGUGUAAGUGGAUAAUGUGGAACUAGUGCAAAUGUGUACUGCUAAUACAGCGAAGUGUCCCACAGCAGCAUUGGCGAAGUUUCACGUCAAUCGAUGUUCGUAGAAUAUUAUUGGCGAUUUUUAGUAGAGCAGCACUCCUUUCUGGCUGAUUCCUCCGUUUUAAAAAUGUUCAGUUUCCUUAAAUAGCCAUGUUAUUCACCGCCAGGACCAAGAUCUUUCACACUCCCCCAACCAGUUGAUCGCACGUCACCCAAAGCCAUCAAUCGGCGCCCGACAAGCGGUGCGUAGUUGCGAGUGAUGUGGUCAGCCGGACAAAAAUAAUAAACAAUCCCCAUUGGGAGGCA